rnacentral:lncRNA from 10 species
GCUGUCCCACGCGCCGGGUCCCGUUGGCGCCGGGGCCUCCUGGGACGGCCUGGCCGCGGCCUGCGGGUGUAGGCGCCUCGGCGGCCACCGCGUCCCCAGGGGGCCUCGCGGACGGGGGCGCGGGGCUGCGGGGAGGAGGCGGGCGGGCCCCUCGGGCGACACCGCGGGGCGGGCGGCGGGAAGCCCGGACUCAGCGGUUUCCUGGGCAACCGGCCUCCUCCGGCGCGGCCCGCGCGGCUCCAGGUGGCGGGAGGCGGCGGUUGGCGGGAAGGGCCGCGCGGGCCCGGGGGCGGCGCCUCAGGUAGCAGCGCCAGGUGGCGCCCGUGGGCGGCGGGGCUCCCGGGGAGGCGCCUGCUCCCGCCCACGCCGGGCCCGGCCUUCGCGAGCUUCCUUCUGGAUUCCAGCGCGAAGCCGCCGCGGAAACUCCCCGGGCGGGCAUCGGAGCUCUGGGGCGGGGCGGCCGGGCUCAGAGGGCGGGCGGGAGCAGGCGGGCGGCGAGGGCGGGCAGCAGCAGCGGGAGCAGGGGCGCCCCGGGCGCCGGGGCCGCUGGGGACGAACGCGGCGGGUCAGGCCCCGAAGCCCGGGCCGCGGUGGCCGCCUCAGGCGCCCGCUCUGGGGUGGGGGUGGGGGCAUCUUUCGGGACCGAACUCGCCGCAGCCUCCCUCUUUGUGCUCCUUUCCCCUGCUGCCCUUCCAGAUGCGCUCUUUCCAGAAAGGCAGCACACGCAUGUCUCUGCCGUGGCCCCAGAUCCUCCCCGCGCCGCCGUUUUGAGCGUUCACACUCAUUACCCAGGUCCGUCUGGGAGACCCGCCGGGCUCCCGCCCUCCCGGCCCGCAGCCUCCUGGCCAAAAUCCUCCCGGGACACCCCACCUGGACUGCUGCGAACGGGCCUCCACCCGCCUCCCCGGACCCGCAGCGCCCCCCGCUCCCUCAGGGUUCUGGGGUGAAGGGGUCUGAAUAGCACCAGGGGAGGCGGCAGGGCGGGCCUGUCCUACCUGCGCCCGAGCACUGCUGAGACGACAUCCCUUCCAGCGCCGCCACGUAGUCCAGCCCCAGCCAGCCGCGGUCCUGGAAGCACCGCAGGCAGACGACCUGCUCCUCACUGGGCUCAGGCAGGGUCACCCGCCCAGUGCCGCUAGCUGCAAAUUGCUUUACAUACAGUGACCCAAAGAGCAAGUCAUUUCAGGGCCCCACCACUCUGAUUGGAAGUCAUAAGCUUGACAACUGAUUGGCCUCUGUCACCCAAGCGGGUGUGGGGACACUAGGCCCGCAGGUGCCACUGGAAGAGGCGUUCAGAAGCACUGCGGUGCUCCAGCUCCUGGAUGCAGGUCUGAGGCCUGAGAUGUCCAGGAAGAAAGACCCAGAAAUGAGGGAUGGUGUGGGUGGGAUUCCUGAGCGUUCUGCUAGGCCUGCUGAGCACUUCUUGGCCUUUUCCAUAAGGCUUUCUCACUCUGUCUUACAGAUAUCUCCCCACAAACCUAAACAAUUUCGAGAGGGACUUGUGUUCUGCAACCAGUCACAGAAUAUCAGGUGAGCUGGGCGUGUCUUCACUGACCCACCCGCCCAGGGAUGCUGCACUCCUCUCCACCCUGCUCAGAAUCACUAGAAUGACCGUUCUGUGGCUACAGCCCUAAAAGAGCUACUAAAAAGACCAGAAGUAGUAUGAGAACUUAUGAAUACGAAUAUAAAUAAAGGACAUCUGGAGAACAUGCA